CCUACGGGCGGCAGCAGUGGGGAAUAUUGCACAAUGGGCGCAAGCCUGAUGCAGCCAUGCCGCGUGUGUGAAGAAGGCCUUCGGGUCGUAAAGCACUUUCAGCGGGGAGGAAGGCGGUGAGGUUAAUAACCUCAUCGAUUGACGUUACCCGCAGAAGAAGCACCGGCUAACUCCGUGCCAGCAGCCGCGGUAAUACGGGGGGUGCAAGCGUUAAUCGGAAUUACUGGGCGUAAAGCGCACGCAGGCGGUCUGUCAAGUCGGAUGUGAAAUCCCCGGGCUCAACCUGGGAACUGCAUUCGAAACUGGCAGGCUAGAGUCUUGUAGAGGGGGGUAGAAUGCCAGGUGUAGCGGUGAAAUGCGUAGAGAUCUGGAGGAAUACCGGUGGCGAAGGCGGCCCCCUGGACAAAGACUGACGCUCAGGUGCGAAAGCGUGGGGAGCAAACAGGAUUAGAUACCCUAGUAGUC
rnacentral:rRNA from 1 species